GCCGGGGUGGCGGAACUGGUAGACGCGCCGGAUUCAAAAUCCGGUUCCUUCACGGGAGUGUCGGUUCGAUUCCGACCCUCGGUACCA
rnacentral:tRNA from 11 species